rnacentral:rRNA from 1 species
UACGAGUGGCUCAAGCGUUAUCCGGAAUUAUUGGGCGUAAAGGGUAUGUAGGUGGUUAUGUUAGUCGGAUGUCCAACCUCUGGGCUUAACCUGGAGACAGCAUUCGAAACGGCAUGACUAGAGUAUGUUAGGGGUGAGCGGAACUCAUAGUGUAGGGGUGAAAUCCGUUGAUAUUAUGGGGAACACCAAAAGCGAAGGCAGCUCACUGGGACAUUACUGACACUGAAAUACGAAAGCGUGGGUAGCGAAUGGG